CAGUAGCCGCGGGAAUACGGAGGGAGCUAGCGUUGUUCGGAAUUACUGGGCGUAAAGCGCACGUAGGCGGCUUUGUAAGUUAGAGGUGAAAGCCUGGAGCUCAACUCCAGAAUUGCCUUUAAGACUGCAUCGCUUGAAUCCAGGAGAGGUGAGUGGAAUUCCGAGUGUAGAGGUGAAAUUCGUAGAUAUGUGGAGGAACACCAGUGGCGAAGGCGACUCUCUGGUCUGUAACUGACGCUGAGGAGCGAAAGCGUGGGGAACGAACAGGAUUAGAUACCCCGGUAGUCCCUGUCUCUUAUAC
rnacentral:rRNA from 1 species